rnacentral:tRNA from 1 species
UCCCUGGUAGUCUAGCCGUUAGGACUCAGUGCUUUCACCGCUGUGGCCCAGGUUCAAUCCCUGGCCUGGGAG